GACGAACGCUGGCGGCGUGCCUAACACAUGCAAGUCGAGCGGAGAUACAAAGUAGUUUACUACGGAGUAUCUUAGCGGCGGACGGGUGAGUAACGCGUGGGCAACCUGCCUUACAGAGGGGGAUAACAGUGCGAAAGCACUGCUAAUACCGCAUGACAUUCAAGAGUCGCAUGACUUUUGAAUCAAAGGAGAAAUCCGCUGUAAGAUGGGCCCGCGUCUGGUUAGCUAGUUGGUGAGGUAAAAGCUCACCAAGGCGACGAUCAGUAGCCGAUCUGAGAGGAUGACCGGCCACACUGGAACUGAGACACGGUCCAGACUCCUACGGGAGGCAGCAGUGGGGAAUAUUGCACAAUGGGGGAAACCCUGAUGCAGCAACGCCGCGUGAAGGAUGAAGGUCUUCGGAUUGUAAACUUCUUUGAUCGGGGAUGAAUAAUGACAGUACCCGAAAAACAAGCCACGGCUAACUACGUGCCAGCCGCCGCCGUAAUAC
rnacentral:rRNA from 1 species